rnacentral:tRNA from 1 species
GGCCCCGUGGUCCAACGGAACACGACGCCCGGCUACGAACCGGGAGGCUGGGGGUUCGACUCCCUCCGGGGCCA